rnacentral:misc_RNA from 1 species
AAAUAUCACUAUCCCAUCCAACUUCUCUUCUCUCACAUAUCUCAAAGCGCGAAGUCUCAUUUUUGCCUCCAAUUUAUGGCGAUCUUCCCACAAAAUAGGCAUCUUCUCACGUAAUCCAAUGUGAACUGUCUUCAAACCCGAUUUGGCGAUCAGUGAGGCGGUCUCAUUAGUUGUGCCUCCAGCUUCCACCACAAUCCACACAACAUUGUAUGGCACAUUCAUCAAAGAAUGCAUCACACCUGUAAGAUGCAAAGUCUGAAAAGUUCUCACAUAUGUUGGUGUUACAGCAAUUACAGUCCUUGGACUCUUAACACCAUACUGUAAUCUCUGCUCCCUUUGAACUAUCUCCAUUAUCUUAUGUGCCUGCAUCACCUCACUCGCAUUCGGAUGAGGCCAAGGCCUUAUUAAUAUCCCAUGCCGUCCUACCACCACCCGGCUACUCGACACCGAUGUCCUAUUCAGCUGAUCUUCCCCACCGGAAAAUGACGUCAUUUCCGUCUUAACAGCUACAUCAGCACCCGGAUCAUGAAACAAAGAGGUCGCUGAAUAAAUACUGUUUGGAGUAGUAGCUGAGUUAGUAAACAAAAGAAAGAACACCAAACGCGAAAAUCUGAAACCCAGAACCAAACUGAUCAAACAGCAAACCCCAUGAAGCACAAGCCAGAAAAUAGUCGCUGGUGACUUUACAGACCCAUCUGACGACGAAUCUAACGCUGACGAACCUCUAAAGCUAUUGCUCCGGCGACCUUGCUGUAAAGCUGCUAACUGCUUCAUUUCUCAGUAUAAUCAAAAGGGUUUCAAGAUCUCGAAGUUUUAGACUGAAGCAAUGGAAAAAAAGAGUGGAUUUGAAGAUUUUUGAAGGAAAAGCGUUAGUUGAGAAAGUGUUUGGUGAGAAGUUAAAGAGUUUUAAUCAAGAAAGAGAUGUUACUUUAAGCUUAAGAAUCCAAAAGGGUUGCUUACUAACUAUGUAUUAUAUUCAAAAUUCAACAAUUGAAAGAGACGCCAUGAACGAACAGUGGAAGAAGCUUCAGAGGAAGACUGAAAAACGGAUUCGGG